rnacentral:rRNA from 1 species
AUGCAAGUCGAACGGUAACAUUUCUAGCUUGCUAGAAGAUGACGAGUGGCGGACGGGUGAGUAAUGCUUGGGAACUUGCCUUUGCGAGGGGGAUAACAGUUGGAAAUGACUGCUAAUACCGCAUAAUGUCUUCGGACCAAACGGGGCUUCGGCUCCGGCGCAAAGAGAGGCCCAAGUGAGAUUAGCUAGUUGGUAAGGUAACGGCUUACCAAGGCGACGAUCUCUAGCUGUUCUGAGAGGAAGAUCAGCCACACUGGGACUGAGACACGGCCCAGACUCCUACGGGAGGCAGCAGUGGGGAAUAUUGCACAAUGGGGGAAACCCUGAUGCAGCCAUGCCGCGUGUGUGAAGAAGGCCUUCGGGUUGUAAAGCACUUUCAGUUGUGAGGAAAAGUUAGUAGUUAAUACCUGCUAGCCGUGACGUUAACAACAGAAGAAGCACCGGCUAACUCCGUGCCAGCAGCCGCGGUAAUACGGAGGGUGCGAGCGUUAAUCGGAAUUACUGGGCGUAAAGCGCACGCAGGCGGUUUGUUAAGCUAGAUGUGAAAGCCCCGGGCUCA